rnacentral:rRNA from 1 species
AUUGCACGCUGGCGGCAGGCGUAACACAUGCAAGUCGAGCGAGCGGCGGACGGGUGAGUAAUGUCUGGGAAACUGACUGAUGGAGGGGGAUAACUACUGGAAACGGUAGCUAAUACCGCAUAACAUCAGAUGUGCCCCGAUGGGAGUAGCUAGGAGGUGGGGUAAUGGCUCACCUAGGCGACGAUCCCUAGCUGGUCUGAGAGGACGACAGGCCAGUCUGGAACUGAGACACGGUCCAGACUCCUACGGGCGGCAGCAGUGGGGAAUGUUGAACAAUGGGCGCAAGCCUGAUGCAGCCAUGCCGCGUGUGUGAAGAAGGCCGUCGGGUUGGAAAGCACUUUCAGCGAGGAGGCGUUACUCGCAGAAGAAGUACCGGCUAACUCCGUGCCAGCAGCCGCGGUAAUUC